rnacentral:rRNA from 1 species
CCUACGGGAGGCAGCAGUGAGGAAUAUUGCACAAUGGGGGCAACCCUGAUGCAGCGACGCCGCGUGAGUGAUGACGGAUCUCGGUAUUUUAAGCUCUAUCAGCCGGGAAGAAAAUGACGGUACCUGACUAAGAAGCCCCAGCUAACUACGUGCCAGCAGCCGCUGUAAUCCGUAGGGGGCAAGCGGUAUCCGGAUUUACUGGGUGUAAAGUGAGCUUAGACGGGGAUGCAAGGCCGGAGGGAAAGCGCAUGGCUUAACCAUGGUACUGCUGUGGAAACUGUGGAGCUUGAGUGCGGGAGAGGCAGGCGGAAUGCGUGGUGUAGCGGUGAAAUGCGUAGAUAUUAGGAGGAACACCGACGGCGAAGGCAGCAUGCCGGAGCGUAACUGACGUUGAGGCUCGAAAGCGUGGGGAGCAAACAGGAUUAGAUACCCGAGUAGUC